rnacentral:rRNA from 1 species
CAGUAGCCGCGGUAAAACGGAGGGUGCAAGCGUUAAUCGGAAUUACUGGGUUUAAAGGGUGCGUAGGCGGCAUGCUAAGUCAGGGGUGAAAGACGGUGGCUCAACCAUCGCAGUGCCUUUGAUACUGGUGUGCUUGAAUGUACAUGAGGUAGGCGGAAUGAGACAAGUAGCGGUGAAAUGCAUAGAUAUGUCUCAGAACACCAAUUGCGAAGGCAGCUUACUAAGGUAUGAUUGACGCUGAUGCACGAAAGCGUGGGGAUCAAACAGGAUUAGAUACCCCCGUAGUCCCUGUCUCUUAUAC